rnacentral:rRNA from 1 species
UACGUAGGGUGCAAGCGUUAAUCGGAAUUACUGGGCGUAAAGCGUGCGCAGGCGGUGAUGUAAGACAGAUGUGAAAUCCCCGGGCUUAACCUGGGAACUGCAUUGGUGACUGCAAGGCUUGAGUGUGUCAGAGGGAGGUGGAAUUCCGCGUGUAGCAGUGAAAUGCGUAGAUAUGCGGAGGAACACCGAUGGCGAAGGCAGCCUCCUGGGAUAACACUGACGCUCAUGCACGAAAGCGUGGGGAGCAAACAGG